UUGAGCCGUAUGCGGUGAAAGUCGCUCGUACGGUUCUUAGAGGGCGGGUGCGUAGUAAUACGUGCUCGCUACUCGAC
rnacentral:ncRNA from 4 species